GCACGUGCCGCGCGUGUUCAUCAAGACGUUGCACGACCGGGUGAUGAAACCGGAGCAGCAGGAGGCGAUGAUGAAAAAGUGGCCACCGAGAGAAGCGUACGAAGUGGACAGUGACCAUUCACCUUUCUUCUCUAACCCUUUUGUGCUCUUUGGUUUACUCAUCAAAGCUGCCGUUUCUGUUGGUUCCCCUAUCUAAACAUAUUUAAGAACAAGGGAUUAUAUCUAAACAUAUUUAACCGGUUUGAUAAAAGUAUGUAAUAAAGAAGAAAAUUGUUUAUUAAAUGAUAUAUAACACUCUACUUACCAAUCGUUCUCGUCAAUUUUUAUCUUGCGUCACGAAAACUCAAUUUAAUUAAAUGUUUAGUAUUAAUAUGGAAUUUAAUAGUUUAAAGUCUUUACACAAUAAAAUGAAUUUUUAGAUUCGUAAUUACACUUUGACAAUGGUAAGUGGAGUAAAAGAAGAAAAGAGUGAAGUAGAGAAGGAGACAGUGUGAAGGUGACAAUGUAGAGUGGUUGCAGCGUUUACGCAAAGCUAAUUUUCCUCUAUAAAUCUCUACUUGUACAAGAGUGAAUGCACAGAGAGAGAAGAGACUGAGAGUGCGUGUGUGUGUCUGUGUCUUUACUCAUACAUGAAGUACGAGAAACGUGAAGCUGAUGAGUAACGCAGCUGGUGAAGAGACUUGUCAGAUAUGUACUGAAAACAUUGGAAGAACUGAGCAUGGAGAUCUCUUCGUGGCGUGUGAUGUCUUCAUCUUUGUUUGUGAUAUUUCUCCUUUUCCCUCUUCUCAAUCAAUGGUUAACUAUUUGCACCUAAUUGAUUACCUUUAUUUUGUUCAGAAGUCGCAUUUCUUUUCAUUUAUAAUUUGAUAGUUCUACGUAGAUAUCAUGACAUUUACGUUUUAUUAUUUUCUUAAAAUUGGUGGUGAUUGAUCGCAACAUAUGUAAGAGCACGGGCAAGGGUGAGAGCUUCCAUCGGUUUCUCAUAUAUAAUAUUAAAUUUUCUAUUUAUGUUUUAUUUGUUUUAGAUUAACCAUGUUCUAAAAAUCGGCCGCCUAGUGCCUAGGCGACCGUCUGGGCGCUACGCAUCACUUUUCCGCCCCGAUUUAUGUCAAAUCGUUUUAAGAAAUCGGAUAUCCGAUUUUUUCCGCCUAGACCGCCUAGCCGCCUAAUCUUUUUUUUUAAUGAUAUUUUUAUUUAUUUAUUUGAUCUAAAAUUUUAUAAAUAUCAUUUAUAUUCAUAAUUUUGAUGAAAAUUACACUAUAUCAAGUUUAUAUAUUCUAUUUGUGUGUUUUAUACAAUCUUAAACAUGAAAAUGUAUUAAUAUUAUACAUAAUUAAAGAUUAACAUGUUUAUAACAAAGUAAACAAUUUAAAAAUUCCGCUCCACAUAAUUUCCGAUUAAUCCCUAAUUUUCUCUUUAGGUGCUAGGUCCAACCUGACCGACCGACUAGCGUCUAGCGCUUUCCCGAACAGCGAGAUUAACUAAGUUGCUGCAGGUUGAUAGGUGUAGAAUCAUCUCUCACCAUUUCCUUUGCAGCACCUUUAUAAACAAUUGAUUCUAACAAACUAUCAUUCUCUUUCCUACUAUUUCAAUUCUUUUUAUUACUUUAAUUGAUAGGUAUUUAGUGGGUGCCUUAAGUAUACAUUUGGAAAAAAGAUAUACAUAAAGAAAAAAAAUCUUGAAAUGUACAAAAUACCAGAGUUAAUCUGAUUACAAAAAAAUUAAAGAUUUAUGGAAAGGGAUAAUCUUUUCUCAUUAAUUUUUUUUUUGCUAGCAAAAAAAAAAGACUUGGGAAAAGAUUAUUUGUUUCCAUAAAUCUUUAAUUUUUUUGUAAUAUUCUAGUUAAUCACUUUUUAAUUGUUUUAUUCUUAGGACUGGGCAAAUAAACCGAACCCGAAAAUCCGAAUCGAACCCGAUCCGAUAAAAAUGAAUCCGAACCGAUUCGAAUCCGACAUAAAUACCGAAUGGAUCUUGUUUUUUGGUAUUUUGGGUUAAUGGUAUUAUCUGAACUGAACCCGAACCUAAAUGGAUAUCCGAUAGAACCCGAAACAUUUAAAAUCACAAAAAAAAACUUCUACCAAAUAUGAUUUUAAUUCUUAAUAUGUAUCCAAAAUAUUUUAAGAUAUUAUUGAACUUAUAAAAUAAUUAUUUAUUACAUGAAGGUUGAUGGUGGAAUAUGGCAGUUGAAGCCUUAAGUUUUUAGAUUUUGGUUUUGUUUUCACUGAAUAAUGUUUCUCAUUUCAUGAGAACUUAGUUUUUGUUUUAUGAUUUCAUUUAUCUGGUUUUCUUUGUAUCACUAACUAUGUUUAUCUUUCGCUUGAUUUUGAAUGAUCACGUUUAAUAUUUUUUUCUUAUUUUUGAAUUGAUUUAUGUGCACGUGCCGCACGUGUACAUCAAGACGUUGCACGACCGGGUGAUGAAACCAGAGCAGCAGGAGGCGAUGAUGAAAAGGUGACCACCGAGAGAAGCGUACGAAGUGGACAGUGACCAUUCAUUCACCUUUCUUCUCUAACCCUUUUGUGCUCCUUGGUUUACUCAUCAAAGCUGCCGUUUCUGUCGAUUCCACUAUCUAAAAAAUAUUUAAGAACAAAAGAGUCCGUGUGUUGUUAACCGGUAAAAUAUUUAAUAAAGAAGAAUAUUUUUUAAUUAAAAAUGAUAUAAUUAAAUGUUUCUGUUCAAUUUUAUCUUGCGUCAAGAAAACUCAAUUUAAUUAAAUGUUCAGUAAUAAUUUGGAAUUUAAUAGUUUAGAGUCUUUACACAAUCAAAUGAAUUUUAAAUUCGUAAUUACACUUUGACAAUGGUAAGUGGAGUAAAAGAAGAAAAGAGAGUAACUAGAGAAGAAAACUGUGUGAAGGUGACAAUGUGGAGUGGUUGCAGCUUGCAAGCAAAGCCAAUUCUCCUCUAUAAAUAUCUACUUAUACGAGAGUGAAUGCACACAGAGAGAGAGACUGAGAGUGCAUGUGCAUGUGCAUGUGUUUGUGUCUUACUCAUACAUUACGUAAUGAAGCUGAUGAGUAACUCUGGUGAGCAGACUUGUCAGAUAUGUAGUGAAAACGUUGGAAGAGCUGAGAAUGGAGAUCCUUUUGUGGCGUGUGAUGUCUGCUCGUUCUCAGUUUGUAGACCUUGGUACGAGUAUGAAACGAAAUAUGGAAACCAGUCUUGUCCCCAAUGCAAGACCAUAUACAAGGGUA
rnacentral:lncRNA from 1 species